GUUUAGACGGAGCUGCUCAACCCCCACCACUGUUUCCGUAUACCGUCAUCUGCAUAAACAUGAGUAAUUUAUGAAUAAUAAAUGCCCUUGCAUUCAGCGGGAGCCCUUCAUUUGCAUAUCACCGCAGCUACAGUUUUAUUUCCUUAGUGAGGCGUUAUCAUGGAGUCCUUCAAGCCCGCGUAAACCAGAAUCAAAGAAAGUAUGCUUUAACAGAAAGAGACCCAAUAGGGCCCAGCAGGUGAAUGUAAAGAAACGCAAGAGGACUCCCCUCUGAUCAACCUUUUCAAACCCGGACAAUGGGACAGCCCACCUCUUGUACAGCUGCAUUAAAACCCUGAUUAAAGUUCUUCCUGUUAGCGAUUGAUUGAGGAUGCAGAGCCAAAACCAACAAAAACCUGCACUGCUGAGGCCCGAUAAAGACGAGGCCCCACCUACAAAGCACAGGCUUCAAAUGAUUAGUGGGGUUUUGUUUUCUUAGUCGGUGUGUGAGUGUGUGUUUGUAAAUUACACACUGUGUGUGUGUGCGUGUGUGUCUGCGUGUGUGCGUUAGAGAGAUGUGAGGGAGAAGACGUCGACAAAUAGCUCUAAUUAAUCAAUGGACUCCCUCAAAAAAGAAGAAAACUUUUUUUUCUAUAUUUCUUGCUUUAGAAUGAGGUUGUGUGUCUUAACGUUCAUGGGUAAAUCCAUGUUUUUGACUGUAAAAUAAAAAAAUAAAACGAUAUACAUGGAUGAAAAAA